rnacentral:rRNA from 1 species
GAUGAACGCUGGCGGCGUGCCUAAUACAUGCAAGUCGAGCGAACGGACGAGAAGCUUGCUUCUCCGAUGUUAGCGGCGGACGGGUGAGUAACACGUGGAUAACCUACCUAUAAGACUGGGAUAACUUCGGGAAACCGGAGCUAAUACCGGAUAAUAUUUUGAACCGCAUGGUUCAAAAGUGAAAGACGGUCUUGCUGUCACUUAUAGAUGGAUCCGCGCUGCAUUAGCUAGUUGGUAAGGUAACGGCUUACCAAGGCAACGAUGCAUAGCCGACCUGAGAGGGUGAUCGGCCACACUGGAACUGAGACACGGUCCAGACUCCUACGGGAGGCAGCAGUAGGGAAUCUUCCGCAAUGGGCGAAAGCCUGACGGAGCAACGCCGCGUGAGUGAUGAAGGUCUUCGGAUCGUAAAACUCUGUUAUUAGGGAAGAACAUAUGUGUAAGUAACUGUGCACAUCUUGACGGUACCUAAGCAGAAAGCCACGGCUAACUACGU